UCCUAAAAUCUUUCUUAGCCAUCUUCGUUGAGCCACAUUUAGUGUUUUUCAAUUUCGGCAGAUGACUAUUCACAGCAGUUUAUUAAUGGAGCCCUUCCACUGCAGCAUUCUGGAGGCAAUCCAGUAUUUUAUAGAAGUAGCCUUAGAAAUGACUAGUCAGCAGAACAGAGUUGAUAAAAGGAUAACUCUAAUGUCACCUGCUGGAAUGUCUACAGACUCUCAUCUCAGUUCUUUGACAUAAUGUAUAUUUUUUAUUUCAGAAUAGUUUUAGAAGUAAUGAAGUAUUCAUUUAUGGACAUCAAUAAAUACAUGCUCUUUAAA